rnacentral:rRNA from 1 species
AACGAACGCUGGCGGCAUGCUUAACACAUGCAAGUCGAACGAGACCGUCCGGUCUAGUGGCGCACGGGUGCGUAACGCGGGGGAACCUGCCCUUAGGUUCGGUAUCACUCCCCGAAAGGGGUGCUAAUACCGGAUAAUGUCUUCGGACCAAAGAUUUAUCGCCUUUGGAUGGGCCCGGGUUGGAUUAGCUAGUUGGUAGGGUAAAAGCCUACCAAGGCGACGAUCCAUAGCUGGUCUGAGAGGAUGAUCAGCCACACUGGGACUGAGACACGGCCCAGACUCGUACGGGAAGCAGCAGUGGGGAAUAUUGGACAAUGGGCGAAAGCCUGAUCCAGCAAUGCCGCGUGAGUGAUGAAGGCCUUAGGGUUGUAAAGCUCUUUUACCCGGGAUGAUAAUGACAGUACCGGGAGAAUAAGCUCCGGCUAACUCCGUG